AUGGAAAGAAGAUACAGGAAGCACACCUGUGGGCUCUGGAAUUCCAUGCACUUGUGCCACUGCACCCCACCCGAAGGCUUGGACACAGUCCUGUGUUCAUCGGGCAACUGUGCUGGGGGCACCAUGAUGGCCCAGUGUCUGCUGCUGCUCUCGAUAUGCCAACAGCCCACCAUGGAUCUGCUCCAGUAAACAUUUGCUGACUGA